rnacentral:rRNA from 1 species
UGGGGAAUUUUGGACAAUGGGGGAAACCCUGAUCCAGCCAUCCCGCGUGUGCGAUGAAGGCCUUCGGGUUGUAAAGCACUUUUGGCAGGAAAGAAACGUCGCGGGUUAAUACCCCGCGAAACUGACGGUACCUGCAGAAUAAGCACCGGCUAACUACGUGCCAGCAGCCGCGGUAAUACGUAGGGUGCAAGCGUUAUCGGAAUUACUGGGCGUAAAGCGUGCGCAGGCGGUUCGGAAAGAAAGAUGUGAAAUCCCAGAGCUUAACUUUGGAACUGCAUUUUUAACUACCGGGCUAGAGUGUGUCAGAGGGAGGUGGAAUUCCGCGUGUAGCAGUGAAAUGCGUAGAUAUGCGGAGGAACACCGAUGGCGAAGGCAGCCUCCUGGGAUAACACUGACGCUCAUGCACGAAAGCGUGGGGAGCAAAACAGGAUUAGAUACCCUGGUAGUCCGCGCCCUAAACGAUGUCAACUAGCUGUUGGGGCCUUCGGGCCUUGGUAGCGCAGCUAACGCGUGAAGUUGACCGCCUGGGGAGUACGGUCGCAAGAUUAAAACUCAAAGGAAUUGACGGGGUCAUAGCUGUUUCCUG